rnacentral:rRNA from 1 species
CUGGCGGCGUGCUACUAUGCGAGUCGUGCGGAGCUUUAAUUGAACCGCAAGGGGAUGUUAAAGCUUAGCGGCGAACGGGUGAGUAACGCGUGAGUAACCUGCCCACAGGACCGGGAUAACUCCGAGAAAUCGGGGCUAAUACUGGAUAUGAAACUGAUACGCCUGUAUCGGUUUGGAAAAGAGCAAUCCGCCUGUGGAGGGACUCGCGUCCUAUCAGCUAGUUGGUGGGGUAACGGCCUACCAAGGCUACGACGGGUAGCCGGCCUGAGAGGGUGACCGGCCACACUGGGACUUAGACACGGCCCAGACUCCUACGGGAGGUAGCAAGUGGGAAUUUUGCACAAUGGGCGAAAGCCCGAUGCAGCGACGCCGCGUGAGGGAUGAAGGCCUUCGGGUCGUAAACCUCUGUUGAUGGGAAAGAAUAACUGACGGUACCCAUCGAGGAAGCCUCGGCUAACUCCGUGCCAGCAGCCGCGGCAAGACGGAGGAGGCUAGCGUUGUCCGGAUUGACUGGGCGUAAAGCGCGUGUAGGCGGGAUCUUAAGUCGGCGGUGAAAGCCUCCUGCUUAACGGGAGGAUUGCCGCCGAAACUAAGGUUCUUGAGGGCAGGAGAGGAGAGUGGAAUUGCUGGUGUAGCGGUGAAAUGCGUAGAGAUCAGCAAGAACACCCGUGGCGAAGGCGACUCUCUGGACUGCUCCUGACGCUGAGACGCGAAAGCCAGGGGAGCGAACGGGAUUAGAUACCCCGGUAGUCCUGGCUGUAAACGAUGGUCACUAGGUGUCGGGGGAUCGACCCCUUCGGCGCCGAAGCUAACGCA